rnacentral:rRNA from 1 species
CAGUAGCCGCGGGAAUACGUAGGUGGCAAGCGUUGUCCGGAAUUAUUGGGCGUAAAGCGCGCGCAGGUGGUUUAAUAAGUCUGAUGUGAAAGCCCACGGCUCAACCGUGGAGGGCCAUUGGAAACUGUUAAACUUGAGUGCAGGAGAGAAAAGUGGAAUUCCUAGUGUAGCGGUGAAAUGCGCAGAGAUUAGGAGGAACACCAGUGGCGAAGGCGGCUUUUUGGCCUGUAACUGACACUGAGGCGCGAAAGCGUGGGGAGCAAACAGGAUUAGAUACCCCUGUAGUCCCUGUCUCUUAUAC